AUGUGCUGCGACAUGUUCUGUAUAUAUAUCAGAAAUAUAUUACGUUUUCUGCAACGACACUGCAGGCAUUAGAUGGACUGAAAGUCAAGUUUUCGACGUCGCCUUCAUCUUGGUGUUCUGCGUCGCUAUGGUGGUGUUGUGUGCCAUAUUUAUCGAGCGACGAGUUAGAGGCGCAUGCGUGCCAGGUAUCAUAUGCGUUGUUCACGGCAUGAUUCUUUCAACGUCAAUAAGUGACGUUUUUCAGGCAGUCGAAUAUGAGUACUCCUCCAAGCUAUCUGAAAGUGUUUUUUCCAUUCGUUCUACGAAAAAAGCGACCAUGUUGAUAUGCGGCAUCUUCAUGGCUUUUGGAAACUUUUUGUUGUCUGGCUUCGCCUGCUUGCCACCGGAUAAACGGAAUCUCAAGGUAUUAAAAGUCGUUAUUCUUACUGGUCUACUUUUGAUGACGCGGCAUGCAUUUUCAUCUCAGGGUGCACACAAAUUUUUUUUUGGGGGGGGGAUGACAAAAUAGGUUUUGACAGCACGCAUUGACUUCUCCAAGAUAUUGCCGAAUGUGUGAAAUCUUCCCUACUUUGCAGUAAAUAAAUUACGUAGAUCCUACAGAUUCUAGGAGUAAAUGGUGAUCCGUAGCAUAUGCAGCAUACCGCAAUUGCUGUUUUAACCUUUUUGUUUACGCGUACUUCACUUCAAUGUUGUAACUAGUGAGCCUUGAUAAGCACGCUCACACCCUCUUCUUGAGUUUGUCAGAGUAUAAAAGCUGCCGGUUCGCCAUUGGCUUAGGAUCCAGCGGGAACGGAAAGCGAUAGCUGCAUUAGAGACGGGCUCUAACAUUCAAGAUGUUUAGGACACAGGCCCCAAGUGUUUUUCAAGUGCUACCUUGCAUAAAAUAAGUACUAGUGAGGCCGUUAUUCUUUCGAGUUCUCCAUUCUUCUGUCUGCUAAUGGGUAGGGUAUGUAGUUGCUAUGCUGAGAGGGCUGCGCCCACAGCCGCCUUCAGACUCGGGGAUCUGUAACGCAAAGUUCUUCCGGCCUGUUUCAAUUCCAGUUCUGCCACAGGCCCUACGGAUUAGUCAAAAUUUCCGGGCCAACCUCCCCUUCAUCUGUCUUUCACGCGAGGUCGCGAAAAGCGCGAGAACGCCCCCAUCUGAUAUGAUACGCGCACCAUUUUCGCCAUUGGCCCUCUCCUAGUGGUCAAAUGUGCCCACUUCGCCUGUCCGUCAGGCGACAUCGCGAAACCACGA